CCAUGAGCGCAGAUGGUACUGCGAGAGCGGGAGAGUAUGUCGCCGCCUUCU
rnacentral:rRNA from 1 species